rnacentral:rRNA from 1 species
CCUCUUAGCGGGGGAUAACUAUUGGAAACGAUAGCUAAUACCGCAUAAAAGUCGAUAUCGCAUGAUAUUGACUUGAAAGGUGCAAUUGCAUCACUAAGAGAUGGACCUGCGUUGUAUUAGCUAGUUGGUGAGGUAACGGCUCACCAAGGCGACGAUACAUAGCCGACCUGAGAGGGUGAUCGGCCACACUGGGACUGAGACACGGCCCAG